UGGCGAACGGGUGAGUAACACGUGGGUGAUCUGCCCUGCACUUCGGGAUAAGCCUGGGAAACUGGGUCUAAUACCGGAUAGGAGCCAUUCUUAGUGUGAUGGUUGGAAAGUUUUUUCAGUGUAGGAUGAGCUCGCGGCCUAUCAGCUUGUUGGUAGGGUAAUGGCCUACCAAGGCGGCGACGGGUAGCCGGCCUGAGAGGGUGGACGGCCACAUUGGGACUGAGAUACGGCCCAG
rnacentral:rRNA from 1 species